CAGCCGUAAACUAUGCUCGCUAGGUGCAGGCAUGGCGCGACCGUGUCUAGUGCCGCAGGGAAGCCGUGAAGCGAGCCACCUGGGAAGUACGGCCGCAAGGCUGGAACUUAAAGGAAUUGGCGGGGGAGCACAACAACGGGUGGAGCCUGCGGUUUAAUUGGACUCAACGCCGGACAACUCACCGGGAACGACAGCAAUAUGUAGGCCAGGCUGAAGACCUUGCCUGAAUCGCUGAGAGGUGGUGCAUGGCGUAGACGUCU
rnacentral:rRNA from 1 species